rnacentral:rRNA from 1 species
UACGUAGGGGGCUAGCGUUAUCCGGAAUUACUGGGCGUAAAGGGUGCGUAGGUGGUUUCUUAAGUCAGAGGUGAAAGGCUACGGCUCAACCGUAGUAAGCCUUUGAAACUGGGAAACUUGAGUGCAGGAGAGGAGAGUGGAAUUCCUAGUGUAGCGGUGAAAUGCGUAGAUAUUAGGAGGAACACCAGUUGCGAAAGCGGCUCUCUGGCCUGUAACUGACACUGAGGCUCGAAAGCGUGGGGAGCAAACAGG